GACGAACGCUGGCGGCGUGCUUAACACAUGCAAGUCGAGCGGUAAGGCCCUUUCGGGGGUACACGAGCGGCGAACGGGUGAGUAACACGUGGGUGACCUGCCCUUAGCUCUGGGAUGAGCCUGGGAAACUGGGUCUAAUACCGGAUAUGACUCCAUAACGCAUGUUGUGGGGUGGAAAGCCUUGUGCGGCUAGGGAUGGGCCCGCGGCCUAUCAACUUGUUGGUGGGGUGAUGGCCUACCAAGGCGACGACGGGUAGCCGGCCUGAGAGGGCGACCGGCCACACUGGGACUGAGACACGGCCCAGACUCCUACGGGAGGCAGCAGUGGGGAAUCUUGCGCAAUGGGCGAAAGCCUGACGCAGCGACGCCGCGUGGGGAUGACGGCCU
rnacentral:rRNA from 1 species